AAACUGCGAAUGGCUCAUUAUAUAAGUUAUCGUUUAUUUGAUAGUACCUUACUACUUGGAUAACCGUGGUAAUUCUAGAGCUAAUACAUGCUAAAAAUCCCGACUUCGGAAGGGAUGUAUUUAUUAGAUUAAAAACCAAUGCCCUUCGGGGCUCCUUGGUGAUUCAUGAUAACUUCGCGAAUCGCAUGGCCUUGCGCCGGCGAUGGUUCAUUCAAAUUUCUUCCCUAUCAACUUUCGAUGUUUGGGUAUUGGCCAAACAUGGUUGCAACGGGUAACGGAGGGUUAGGGCUCGACCCCGGAGAAGGAGCCUGAGAAACGGCUACUACAUCCAAGGAAGGCAGCAGGCGCGCAAAUUACCCAAUCCCGACACGGGGAGGUAGUGACAAUAAAUACUGAUACAGGGCUCUUUAGGGUCUUGUAAUUGGAAUGAGUACAAUUUAAAUCCCUUAACGAGGAACAAUUGGAGGGCAAGUCUGGUGCCAGCAGCCGCGGUAAUUCCAGCUCCAAUAGCGUAUAUUAAAGUUGUUGUGGUUAAAAAGCUCGUAGUUGAACCUUGGGCCUGGCUGGCCGGUCCGCCUCACCGCGUGCACUGGUCCGGCCGGGCCUUUCCCUCUGUGGAACCCCAUGCCCUUCACUGGGCGUGGCGGGGAAACAGGACUUUUACUUUGAAAAAAUUAGAGUGCUCCAGGCAGGCCUAUGCUCGAAUACAUUAGCAUGGAAUAAUAAAAUAGGACGUGCGGUUCUAUUUUGUUGGUUUCUAGGACCGCCGUAAUGAUUAAUAGGGACAGUCGGGGGCAUCAGUAUUCAAUUGUCAGAGGUGAAAUUCUUGGAUUUAUUGAAGACUAACUACUGCGAAAGCAUUUGCCAAGGAUGUUUUCAUUAAUCAGGAACGAAAGUUAGGGGAUCGAAGACGAUCAGAUACCGUCGUAGUCUUAACCGUAAACGAUGCCGACUAGGGAUCGGACGGUGUUAUUACUUGACCCGUUCGGCACCUUACGAGAAAUC
rnacentral:rRNA from 1 species